rnacentral:tRNA from 1 species
GGUGAAGUGGCUGAAAUUAUAGGCGGUAGACUGUAAAUCUAUUUAUGGGGUUAAUUCCUUCUUUACCA